rnacentral:snRNA from 1 species
AUCGCUUCUCGGCCUUUUGGCUAAGAUCAAGUGUAGUAUAUCCAUUUGAAUGUAAGUAUAUGUAAAUAUGCACUAUAUAUUUAAAGAGAUACACAAAGCUUUAAUAUUCCUCAAUCCUAAAUAUCUUCGUAUUGGCC